UAUUGUGAAAAACCCCACCGGACGUACUUUAUUCUCCUUGGCGAAACGCGUGACGCACAGGAGAGUAGCAGUGGACAAAAACACAGACUUGCCGUUCAGAUUUAGUUGCCACAGAGCAUCACCAGGCAUCCCUCUCAGAGUAUACACAGCACUGCAGUGGACGAACCAAGGAACACCGCAUGGAAACAAUUCAGCUUUGAUGUGAAUGAGUCCAAGCUACAGAGGCAGUUGCUCAGCUAUUAGCUUGACGAUCGUUGGGGUUGUCUGUCCAGUCUACAAGCAGUAGUCGAAACCUCUCCACCUCCAGCAUGAGUGAGCUAACAGACUUUGAAAAAGGCAAAAUAGUCGGCGCGCGUAUUGGAGGCAUGUCUGUGAGCGAAACUGCUGAGCUGUGUAACGUUUCAGCCCGAACAGUGAUGAAAGUCAUGAGUGCUUAUAAGAAUUAUGGAUUUGCUGCAUCAGCACAGAAAAAAAAAAUACGCAAGCCACAGAAAAAUACAGUUGCUAAUGGAAAAGCGGCCAGGGCGAAAGUGGUUCCCGAGUCUAAGGUCGCAACACAAAAUCCUGAUGAAGACAUGGACACACCUGAACCCAAGACCCAAGAAGAUGAGUAACUCGGUCUGAUGAGCUGUACUUUGAUCCUUAUGUUACAUUUAGACUUUUUCUGUUUUCAGAAAGCCACAGAAUGCCUUUAUUUAACCAACGCUUUUCCUCUCUGCUGAGAGAUUAUCUCUUUUAAAAAAAAGAAUCUCAAUUACUUUAUUUAUGGUAAACUAAUUUUACUGUUUAGUUUAAAGAAAUUCGACAUAAGAAUGGCCAAAAAUGAUUUUAAACUUUUUACUGAUGUGAACUGGCUGUGUUGUAAACUCAUACUUUCUUCUUUUUUUCUUUUUGAACAAUAUUGCAUAUUUUCAACAAAUAAAUUUUAAACGUGAAUCUUUUUGCGUCUUUUCUCUCUGUGUUAAUGACCCUAUUUCAUUUCUCAAAUUGCACAUCCUCUCUGAGAGACUGAGAGGAGGCAACAGGCAGUUAGAAAAUUAGACGUCCUUCAAAGCUCUCGAUUAAAUACCAUGGGGGAACAGUGUACAUACAUUUUGUUAAAGCACAACUGCUGUACUGAGAUUAACUUCUGGGUCACCGGCAGGAGAGUAAAUAAAUAAAACUUCUUUUUCUUUUUUAUUUAGACUUACUGCUUUCGCCAUCUAUUUAGAGAGCAAGGAGGACACUCCAUUUGACAGUUUGUCAGCAGCUGAUUGGUCCACUAACCAGGACAUCACUGCUUCAGCAUUCAAACUCAUGGAAGCGCCAUAUGACAGUGGACAUUGGGGUACCUAAGUGACAGUGCUCCAACGCAGUGGCUGGGUUUCCUGCUCAUCUGUCAGGUGACAGUGUCCAAAGGAGAUAGUCACCACUUUAAAAGCAGUGUUCAAAUCAGUAUGAGUGACUUAACAGAGUUUGAAAGGUGCCAGAUUGUUGCUGCACGGCUGUCGGGUGCAUCUGUCACAAAAACGGCACAGCUGUUUAACGUGGCAAGGGGAACAGUGUCAAGAGUCAUGACUGUGUAUAUCAAACAUGGACGAACAGCAUCAGCAAAAAAGAACAGCGGGCGCAAGUCAGAGCUCACUGAAAAGGACAGACAGACGCUUCUCCAGAUAGUCGAUGAACACCCCGAGUGCACCGCCUGUAAGAUAACCUCAGAGCUGAAUAGACACCUCUCUCACGCGGUCUCUGUAAAGACUGUACGGCGUGAGCUGCAUAAAGCUGGUGUCUUUCGAGGAGCAUCCAAUCAGAAAGCAGAGAUAGAAACUGAUUCUCCAAAGUUCGAUGGAAAGAACAGCGAGCCUUACAAACAAUGUGAAGCACAGACGCUAUCUGAACCCCAGGGUGCUGUGCACAGAUACAACACAGACGAAGCUGGACCCCAAAUUUGAACUUGAAAAAGAUCACUACUUUCAAAGGUUUCUUGACAGGAAUAAAGAGCCUGAACCUCAGACUAAUUAAAAUUACCUCAUCUGAUGGUACAUUUCAACCUUUUUCAUUCUUGAGUGAACUCAGCUGUCACUUAUGUAUUCUGUGUGCUUUACAUUAUGAGCCGUGAAGAGUGGCUUGCACAGAGAUUUAUUUUAUUUUACCAGGUUUGCUAAUAGGAUUUUCAGUUAUCCAGCCAUAAUAACACUGUUUUAAUUAAAUGAUAAAACAGUAAAACUAAUAGAUUUCUCUGAAAUAAAAUAACCAAGGCAAAGCUAACAGGCUACGGCAUGCAAAUAUAUUGAAAAUGAAAAGUAAUAGGUUCAAUGAUUAAUAUUUAAAUAGAAUCGCAUGUAUUACAGUACUAAAGUAACUGCAGUGAUUUAGCUUGUGCUUGUGCUUCACACGGUGACGCAACAACAGACCCGGAAGUGCAGCGCCAACCACAAACACACCUGUGACAGCGCCGCUGUUACUCUGUGGAAGAGGGUUCACGUGUCCAACCGUGAGAGGUUUGACCUGUGUUUUCAUCCGUUUUCUCGGCGUCGGGGCGAAUAUGUUUGCAGUAUUUAUGUUUUUUAUGCAAAGAACGUUUUAAACCUCAACAUGAACGUGUGACGGUAGAAAGGUGUAAGGCUACGUUUAGCCAGGCCAAGGAGUAAAACCAGUCAUCUCCAUCUACAGUGCUGUGCAAAAGUCUUGAGCCACCUUUUGUUUCUCUAUAUUUUGCUUCCCAAGGAGCCAGACUUGCUUGUAAUUUUUAAAGUUGUUUUGAGCAUCAAAUUUCCAGGCUUUCUGAAGGUCUUUUUGCAAGUUUUUCCUUUGGACGUUGGCUUCAUUGGAGCAUAGAAAAGACAUUUAACUCAAGGAAUGAAGUAGUGUUGUGUUAACCCGUGAUGAAAAUCAUAGCAAAGAACCAGUUAUAAAUGGUAUAUUUUGACAGUUUGUUCAUUUGUUCUCAUUUCUUUAGUUGCAUCUUUAGUUAAAUCAAGAAAAAAAUGCCAAAGAUAACACGGUUUGACAGGCAUAAAAUAGUACUUUUGCACCAACAAGGUGAACCCCAAAGAACUAUUAGCCGAAAACUUGGCAUAUCUCGACAUGGUGUGCAGUGUGUCCUUAAAAAAUUUCAGCAAACCGGACAAGUGGAAGACAAAAGAAGAAGUGGCCGACCUAAAA